GAUGAACGCUGGCGGCGUGCCUAAUACAUGCAAGUCGAGCGAACAGACGAGGAGCUUGCUCCUCUGACGUUAGCGGCGGACGGGUGAGUAACACGUGGAUAACCUACCUAUAAGACUGGGAUAACUUCGGGAAACCGGAGCUAAUACCGGAUAAUAUAUUGAACCGCAUGGUUCAAUAGUGAAAGACGGUUUUGCUGUCACUUAUAGAUGGAACCGUGCCGCAUUAGCUAGUUGGUAAGGUAACGGCUUACCAAGGCGACGAUGCGUAGCCGACCUGAGAGGGUGAUCGGCCCCACUGGAACUGAGACGCGGUCCAGGCUCCUACGGGAGGCAGCAGUAGGGAAUCUUCCGCAAUGGGCGAAAGCCUGACGGAGCAACGCCGCGUGAGUGAUGAAGGUCUUCGGAUCGUAAAACUCUGUUAUUAGGGAAGAACAAAUGUGUAAGUAACUAUGCACGUCUUGACGGUACCUAAUCAGAAAGCCACGGCUAACUACGUG
rnacentral:rRNA from 1 species